GACGAACGCUGGCGGCGUGCUUAACACAUGCAAGUCGUACGGUAAGGCCCUUUCGGGGGUACACGAGUGGCGAACGGGUGAGUAACACGUGAGUAACCUGCCCACAACUUUGGGAUAACGCUAGGAAACUGGUGCUAAUACUGGAUAUGUGCUCCUGCUUCAUGGUGGGGGUUGGAAAGCUCCGGCGGUUGGGGAUGGAUUCGCGGCCUAUCAGCUUGUUGGUGGGGUAGUGGCCUACCAAGGCGGCGACGGGUAGCCGGCCUGAGGGGGUGACCGGCCACAUUGGGACUGAGAUACGGCCCAGACUCCUACGGGAGGCAGGAGGGGGGAAUAUUGCACAAUGGGCGCAAGCCUGAUGCAGCAACGCCGCGGGCGGGAGGACGGCCUUCGGGUUGGAAACCGCUUUCAGCAGGGACGAAGCUUUUUGUGACGGUACCUGCAGAAGAAGCACCGGCUAACUACGUG
rnacentral:rRNA from 1 species